rnacentral:rRNA from 1 species
UACCAGCUCUCCGAGUGGUAGGGAUGAUUAUUGGGCUUAAAGCGUCCGUAGCCGGCUUAGCAAGUCUCCUGUUAAAUUCAGCGACCUAAUCGUCGAGCCGCGGGAGACACUACUAGGCUAGGAGGCGGGAGAGGCCGACGGUAUUCUCGGGGUAGGGGUGAAAUCCUAUAAUCCCGGGAGGACCACCAGUGGCGAAGGCUGUCGGCUAGAACGCGCUCGACGGUGAGGGACGAAAGCUGGGGGAGCGAACCGGAUUAGAUACCCGGGUAGUCCCAGCUGUAAACGAUGCGGGCUAGGUGUUGGGGUGGCUACGAGCCACUUCAGUGCCGCAGGGAAGCCAUUAAGCCCGCCGCCUGGGGAGUACGGCCGCAAGGCUGAAACUUAAAGGAAUUGGCGGGGGAGCACCACAAGGCGUGAAGCUUGCGGUUC